GGUCAUGCCAAAGGCCUGUUUCCUAGCUAUACAUGGGGGACUGGUUCCUUGUUCUUCUGCCUAGGGGAAAGUCCCUGGCCCUCCAGCAGAGAAUUCCACAUGCAGGUAGACAUCCCUCCAUCUCUCACUGUUAAAACCCGCCAAGAAGCGAAUCUUGCCCAGCUGCCCUGCGAGGCGCUGAGCGAGUUGUCCCUCAGCUGCAUUAGUUAAACAGGCAGUGUGUAUCUUAGCGCACCAACCACACAGGGCUCAUUCUCAGAACGGC
ensembl:misc_RNA RNase_MRP RNase MRP